UCUUAGCUUCUCUCCAUGGUGGACAUGGCCCGGAAGCAAAUAAACCCUUUCCUCCCACGGUGGUUCUGGCCUUUGUGUUAAUCGCACUAGCAGAAAUGAAGUCAAACAGGAGCCUUACUCUAAGGAGUACAUGAUCUCCGCCUCCACGCAUGAAGACACGGAAGGGCAAGUGGAAUCUAUGCGGCACAGAGAGGAGGUCUUGGCAUAAAUGAAGACUCUUCCCAUGGCCUGAACAUCUUUCUUCCAUCCUUCAAAGCCAUUGCUACACGGCAGCUCCCGGAUCAACGUGUUCCUCAUGGGAGUGAAUAAACAUCUCUGAGUCAGGAGGAGUGGAAAAAAUUCGCCCAAGAUUUACCCACAAAUUGGCUCUGAGAAAGCACCCCAGAACACUCCCAAAGCAUUUGUGCCAGGUUCCCUGGGCUGCUGGGUUUACUUGAGAAAUCAUAAAAUGACUUUUGUGUGUUUAUUCUUUGACAAUUUUAUACACAAAUGCAAUGCACCCC
rnacentral:lncRNA from 1 species